rnacentral:rRNA from 1 species
AUUGAACGCUGGCGGCAGGCCUAACACAUGCAAGUCGAGCGAGCGGCGGACGGGUGUGUAAUGUAUGGGGACUGCCCGAUAGAGGGGGAUAACUAUUGGAAAGGGUGGCUAAUACCGCAUACUAUCGGAUAACCCAUAGGGGAUUAGGUAGUGUGUGGGGUAAAGGCUCACCGAGGCGACGACCUCUAGCUGGUCUGAGAGGAUGAUUAGCCACACGGGGACUGAGACACGGCCCAGACGCCUACGGAGGCAGCAGUGGGGAAUAUUGCACAAUGGGCGCAAGCCUGAUGCAGCCAUGCCGCGUGUAUGAAGAAGGCCUUAGGGUUGUAAAGUACUUUCAGCGGGGAGGCGUUACCCGCAGAAGAAGCACCGGCUAACUCCGUGCCAGCAGCCGCGGUAAUUC